rnacentral:rRNA from 1 species
AACGAACGCUGGCGGCAUGCCUAACACAUGCAAGUCGAACGAGACCUUCGGGUCUAGUGGCGCACGGGUGCGUAACACGUGGGAAUUUGCCUCGGGGUAUGGAAUAACUCAGGGAAACUUGAGCUAAUACCAUAUAAUGUCUUCGGACCAAAGAUUUAUCGCCCUGAGAUAAGCCCGCGUAGGAUUAGCUAGUUGGUGGGGUAAAGGCUCACCAAGGCGACGAUCCUUAGCUGGUCUGAGAGGAUGAUCAGCCACACUGGGACUGAGACACGGCCCAGACUCCUACGGGAGGCAGCAGUGGGAAUAUUGGACAAUGGGCGAAAGCCUGAUCCAGCAAUGCCGCGUGAGUGAUGAAGGCCUUAGGGUUGUAAAGCUCUUUACCCGAGAUGAUAAUGACAGUAAUCGGGAGAAUAAGACUCCGG